AAUAGGCAGCCUCAUUUGAAUAAAACAACAGUUUUCUCAAGUCAGUAUGAAUAUAUUAUAAAUACAUUUUGUCCAUGAAUAUUUUGAGGCAGGUGCAGUUAGGGUUACAAAUUUUAGGUACACGUCGUAACAUUGGUCAAAACUGUAUCAUCUGCAGUGGAGCCAUCAAGUGUAACUUCAUAUUGCAGUGUGAGGUUGUGAUCUCUGGAAGUCUUGGUUACCAUGUAGGCAAACACUUCAAAAUUUAGCUGCUGAAUCCUGGAUCCUUUUUGAACAAGAGGUUUCAAAAAAGGCAUUUCAUAAAAUGCCACAUUGAGAAAAAAGAGCAAUAACACUUCAGCUAUUGUCCUGCUUCUGGUCCAGCUUACUCUUGUUGGUCUUCACCAUGUAAAUAAAGUAUGCAACGGUUUCCUUCUCAGGGCAGUCAAUCUGUUUAAAAUGUCUCUGGAUGGUCUGGAAAAUAAGAGCAAUGAAUACAAAUAAGGACGAAAAAGAAUAUAUCACUAAGGGGCUGACCAUUUGACUUUUGAGAGGGGGGUAAGCUUUUUUGGGGUGUGCAAAUGCUUUUUAAAGCAUUUGAGUGCAAAAUUAUUUAUACCGAUGCAGGAUAUUUUUUGUCCAUCAAUUGGUGCAGGAUAUUUUUUUCAGCCCAAAGGGCCGUACAGGAUAAUUUUUUUUCAAAAAAGCUCACCCCCUUAAAAGUCAAAUGGUUGGCCCCUAAGUUGUAGUGUCAAACAAGAAAAUAAAAUCUUUAUAGUGGCAAAUGUCAUUUUUUUACUAUGAUUUGAUGACUGAGAUUGUAAAAGCCGGGUACUUUGAUUUCCUUUGAUGAUGAGUAUGCAUGCAUACAACACAAUUCAUGCCACAAUGUGCAAGUAUAAGAACAUGUGAUCAUCCAAACAAUGGGAUGCUACCGUCUUUAUACUCAUACUUGUGUGAUGGGCUUCCACCAAAUAGCACAAUGCAGGCAAUCUGACUUUUUGGUUUAAGCCGGGCUGGGAUCCUUGAGCCAGCAACAUCUGGUACUAGUUCUAGUUCAUCUACUCUCAAAACAUUGUAACAUGCGACAUAUCUUGAAACCAUGAAACAAAAACAGUUCUCAUAUAGUUGCAAAACAUUUCUAUAUUGGCAGCUGAAAUACUUGUGGAUGUUUUUGGGCAGCUAAGCACGGAAACAUUUAAAGUACCUGUGGCAUCAAACUCUUAAGUUCCGGGUUUAUACCAAUAAAUCAGUAGUUUAGGACUUGAAAAUAAACCAUCAAACUAUUAAGUUCCGGGUUUAUACCAAUAAAUCAGUAGUUUAGGACUUGAAAAUAAACCAUACCAAGUUUUAUUACCA